rnacentral:rRNA from 1 species
GAUGAACGCUGGCGGCGUGCCUAAUACAUGCAAGUAGAACGCUGAAGCUUGGUGCUUGCACCGAGCGGAGGAGUUGCGAACGGGUGAGUAACGCGUAGGUAACCUGCCUCUUAGCGGGGGAUAACUAUUGGAAACGAUAGCUAAUACCGCAUAAAAGUCGACAUUGCAUGAUGUUGACUUGAAAGGUGCAACUGCAUCACUAAGAGAUGGACCUGCGUUGUAUUAGCUAGUUGGUGAGGUAACGGCUCACCAAGGCGACGAUACAUAGCCGACCUGAGAGGGUGAUCGGCCACACUGGGACUGAGACACGGCCCAGACUCCUACGGGAGGCAGCAGUAGGGAAUCUUCGGCAAUGGACGGAAGUCUGACCGAGCAACGCCGCGUGAGUGAAGAAGGUUUUCGGAUCGUAAAGCUCUGUUGUAAGAGAAGAACGAGUGUGAGAGUGGAAAGUUCACACUGUGACGGUAACUUACCAGAAAGGGACGGCUAAUCGCCU